UGGCAGGUGUAUGAUGUAUAUUAUGAUGUUAUGGAGAACUAUAUGCCUUUCUCCACUGAGUUGUUCAAAGCGUUUCUAAGGUUACUGAUUGUUAGAAGGCAGCUGUCUCGUGAACUCGUGAAUGUGAACAUUGGUUUGUGUAACAUUAGCAACACAUUAUUAGCUGUUUGGUAACGCAGUCAAGCAAAACGCUAAUCAUAUUAAUUACCGUUAUGUGUCCAACGUUGUAAAAACCAAUACCAUUGUGCAGCAUUUACCUCAGUAAGUUGAACGACUGGAUCUCGUCUGAGCUAGUGCAAUUGCAACAGGUGGUACCGGUGCCAAGUGACAAAUCCUGGUCCUUCGUGAGAGAAAUCCACACCUCCGAAGCUCUGCUGCCCUGGACCCAUGCCCCAAAAUCUCCUGAUAGCGACGGGUGCAGAUAACAAGGUCAGGAUGGACGGUUCUUUUAGCCUGGUCCAGAGCGUUCACAAAGGCUCUUUUCUCAUCUGUAGACAUCUGCAUGACGUUACGUCGCACUGGGAACACAAACAGACUCAGUUUGGCCCUGUCAGACCAUGUCGGCAUCGCCCACAGUUAAAUCCACUGAAGUUGCCGUUGCAUUGGCAGGUUCUGUUAAAGAACCGCAGUGGCCAUCGUUCUCUAUCAUCCCGCCCAUCGUGAGGAUACUGAGGCCCGUGUGGGCGGCGGUCAGCGGUAAUUGACACGCAUUGACCUCUGCCAGUACUGGAUCCACACUCAUCAUUGGGCAGUCCAGUAGGUGAUGGGCAGCAGGUGCCACUCUGCAGACCUUCUGGUGUCACACACUGACGUGGGAACUGAGCGUGCGUCAGCACAACGCACAUUAGCACUAAACACACACUCUUCCACAUCCUGGAAAGAUGGACCCGCAUGCAUUAAAAUAUGCUUAGUUCACCCAAAAA